GAAUGUCAGAAAUGUACAUCAAAGAAAAAUGCUCAAGUCCGAGAACCAUAGAAAUAAAAGAAAUGAAUAGAGUCUAUGCUGGAUGUAUUUUAUAGGAGUUGAGAUAUAGCUGCAUUCAGAAGAGCUGUCUGCUGACAUCACGAGCAAGUGCGCCCAGUCGCGUGAAACGGAUCUG